AUAGUCCUACGGGACGCAGCAGUGGGGAAUAUUGCACAGUGGGGGAAACCCUGAUGCAGCGACGCCGCGUGAAGGAAGAAGUAUUUCGGUAUGUAAACUUCUAUCAGCAGGGAAGAAAAUGACGGUACCUGACUAAGAAGCCCCGUCUAACUACGUGCCAGCAGCCGCGGUAAUACGUAGGUGGCAAGCGUUGUCCGGAUUUACUGGGUGUAAAGGGCGUUUAGCCGGGCUGACAAGUCAGAUGUGAAAUCCGGGGGCUCAACCCCCGAACUGCAUUUGAAACUGUUG
rnacentral:rRNA from 1 species